GACGAACGCUGGCGGCGUGCUUAACACAUGCAAGUCGAACGGAAAGGCCCUGCUUUUGUGGGGUGCUCGAGUGGCGAACGGGUGAGUAACACGUGAGUAACCUGCCCUUGACUUUGGGAUAACUUCAGGAAACUGGGGCUAAUACCGGAUAGGAGCUCCUGCUGCAUGGUGGGGGUUGGAAAGUUUCGGCGGUUGGGGAUGGACUCGCGGCUUAUCAGCUUGUUGGUGGGGUAGUGGCUUACCAAGGCUUUGACGGGUAGCCGGCCUGAGAGGGUGACCGGCCAAAUUGGGACGGAGAGACGGCAGAGACGCAUACGGGAGGCAGCAGUGGGGAAUAGGGCACAAUGGGCGGAAGCCUGAUGCAGCAAGGCCGCGUGCGGGAUGACGGCCGUCGGGGUGGAAACCGAUGGCGCCGGUGAAGAAGCGUGAGGGAAGGGAAUGGGUAAAGAAGCAAAGGCGAAAGAAGGG
rnacentral:rRNA from 1 species